rnacentral:rRNA from 1 species
GACGAACGCUGGCGGCGUGUUUAACACAUGCAAGUCGAACGGAGAUCAUCAAGUAGCAAUACCUGGUGUUCUUAGUGGCGGACGGGUGAGUAACGCGUGAGCAAUUUGCCUUAGGGUGGGGGAUAACAACGGGAAACCGUUGCUAAUACCGCAUAUGACAGUUUAUGGACAUCCAUUUACUGUCAAAGGAGCAAUCCGCCCUUAGAUGAGCUCGCGUCCCAUUAGGUAGUUGGUGAGAUAACAGCCCACCAAGCCGACGAUGGGUAGCCGGACUGAGAGGUUGGCCGGCCACACUGGAACUGAGACACGGUCCAGACUCCUACGGGAGGCAGCAGUGAAGAAUAUUGGGCAAUGGGGGAAACCCUGACCCAGCAACGCCGCGUGAGGGAAGAAGGUUUUCGGAUUGUAAACCUCUGUCCCAUGGGAAGAAACAAAUGACGGUACCAUGGGAGGAAGCCCCGGCUAACUACGUG